GAAACCUUACUGAAUUUUUGGUUCUUGCAUAGGGGGACCCUGGAGGAUCACUGACUGGUGAUAAAGGUGAUGAUGUAAGAAACCAUUUUUACCUUUGGCAGCAGUUCAAUAAGGUUUAACAUUGUGUGUUUCUGUGUGAAAGUUUAUAUGAUGUGUGUGCAUACAUCCAACUUACAACCCCAGCAAGUGUCUUCACCCUUUUAAUUCCAUAUUCCAGGGUGAGCAAGGCACACCUGGCCCACAAGGACCAGAAGAAAUCAUAAUAAAUCCUCCAGAGUUUCUUCCACCUAAAGGUUACAAGGGAGAAAUAGGUCCUCCUGGACCAUGUGGACCAGAUGGCAUACCAGGUGGUAGAGGAGACUACUAUAAUCAGGGAAUAAAAGGAGAGCAGGGAAUCCUUGGUUUUCCUGGACAUCGGGUAGGUGACUUAAAUGACAUUGCACCAUGUUGUUAGACAAAUACAUUAAUUCAAAAACAAUAUUCACACCAUUGUUUCCAUCUCUAGGGUCCUCCAGGAUUUCCUGGUAGAGAUGGAUCUCCAGGACCUAAGGUACACCUGUGAUAUAAUAAUGCCUUCCCUCAUGUUACUAUACCUAGACAAUUUUUUUAGGUUACAUUGAUAUGUUUUCAGGGUCUGCAAGGAGAGAAAGGACUUCCAGGUCUAAUUGGAAGAACUGGACCAAAGGUGAGCAUGAACAACACAAAGGAAUCGGCAUCACAAUUUCAACAAAAUUAGAAAGCUAAUGUCAGGUUA
rnacentral:lncRNA from 15 species